UACGAGGGGGGCGAGCGUUGUUCGGAAUUAUUGGGCGUAAAGGGCGCGUAGGCGGGUUUGUAAGUCAGAUGUGAAAUGCCGAAGCUCAACUUCGGAACAGCAUUUGAAACUGCAAGUCUAGAGGGUAGGCGGAGAAAAUAGAAUUCCACAAGUAGCGGUGAAAUGCGUAGAUAUGUGGAAGAAUACCAGUGGCGAAGGCGAUUUUCUAGCUUAUACCUGACGCUGAGGCGCGAAAGCAAGGGGAUCAAACAGG
rnacentral:rRNA from 1 species